UAUUUCUUUUAAAAACAGAAAAAAGUCCUUCAACCUUCGCAGAACUCUGGGCUACCAACUUGGAAUCAGAAUUCCCAAGAAGAGAAAAAAAAAGAAGGAAAAUGGAAACGUAAAAGAAAAACUUGGAAUCAGAAUCCUUCAAUUUCUCAGUGUAACGAGAAUUUUGAGCAACAAAUUCAACAAUGCAUGACCCAAAAACCAAACCGGUUGCAUCUGUGUGUGCUUGUUUUGUUAUGCUAUGUUAUUGAUUUUUUGAAAUUGAAAGCGCUUGAUUAUUUAUUCCCAUCAAUCAAUAGCGAGCCAGGAGCGAGGAACAUUAAUUUGCUAUUAUUUAGUAGAUACUACUAGCAUCAAUCAGAGCUUACUGUAUGUUCAUUCCCAGUUCAGAAUCAAUGGCUCGGAGACACCUCCCUUUAACAAUGGAGGAUGGCAAAGACGACUUAUGAUCUAUAUUUCCAUAUUUUUCUAAGCGUGCACAAUUUGGUUACAAUAAGGUUUCCUAAUGCUCAAGAUGGUAAAAGACAAGACGGAUUUUAGCCCUGUUUUAGUGAAAUUUGGGAUGGCUUUUGCUCUUUCUUUUGCUGGAUUUCUGUAUUCUCGCACAUUAUGCAGAAGACUUGCAUUUUCUAAGCCUUCUCCUCCAGUUCAUGUUAGUGAAGCUGAUGAACAUGAAGGAGGAACAACUGCAAUGAAGAAAAAACACAAUUUGGCCAGCAUCAAGCCAGUUUCAGCAGAAAAACAUGCAAGUUCUUUUCAUAAUUUUGUUAGCCAUUGAUUAUUUUUUGCAAGAUUAAAAUACUUUAGUUUUAAAUUUUGUUUUGACAUAUCUGCUGUAAACUUAUUGUAUGGUAAAUAACAUUUUUUUUUGGAUUAUUAUCUCCCAUUAUGGCACAAAAUGUGAUUUUAAAAGACCAAAGGGGCUUUUUGGAUCAGAGGUCUAGAAUAGUUGACAAAUGUUUUAUAUUCAACAUCUACCUUGAAUCUGUUUGGUAAAACUAAUGAACAUUUGUGUUUCAACUGAUGC